GACCUCCCAGGCUGGCGCCUGGAGGGUGGCUAGCAUUCUGCCAGCUUUGGGGAUGGGAGGGGAAGCAAGCCUGGCAGGAGUCCCAUUCCAUUCCCAGCUUGCUCAGUCGCUUGCAACUGGAAGACGUCGCAACAAUG
ensembl:snoRNA small nucleolar RNA SNORA7